UCUUUGUUUUAUUAUAUAUAAAGAGUCGGGCCUGCUCGGUGAUUAAUUUUUAACAGCUGCGGUAUUUUAACUGUACUAAGGUAGCAUAAUAAUUUGCCUUAUAAUUUGAGGCUAGAAUGAAUGGUUUGACGAAGGUUGAUCUGUCUCUAUCCUAUUUUUUAGAAUUUAAUUUCUAUAGUGAGAAAGCUUGGAUUUUUUAAAGGGACGAGAAGACCCUAUUGAGCUUAUAAUUUUAUCAUUAUUGAUUUAUAUUAAGUGUAAGUGGUGUAUAAAUUUUAAUUGGGGUGAUUGAGGAAUAAAAUUUAGUAACUUCCUUAAAUUGUAUAUUGUUGGGUAAAGUAACCAAUAUAUUAUUGCUUAUACUAUAGUUACCAUAGGGAUAACAGCGUAAUUUGUUUAGAGAGUUCCUAUUGAAAAAUGAGAUUGCGACCUCGAUGUUGGAUUAAAGUAACCCUUAAGGUGUAGAAGCUUUAAAAGGUAA
rnacentral:rRNA from 1 species